UUGCAUUCCAAAGUCAUAACUUCAUAUUACAUUCGUAUGAGAUCCAUAAGCCCAAAAUAUACCUGAAAAAUGGAAAGAAAGUGAGGAUGGAGGUUCAGCAAAUAUGAAGCAGAGUAAUAGCAACACAACCACUCCAAAUAAUCCCAGAUCCCACCAAUUGAAGAUAAAUGACAAGAUAAUUUUUAACUCGAAGAAAUGAAGUGAAAGGAGCCCAAAACGACUUCAAAUCAUCAUAUAACCAAACUGAAAUCAAAUGGUGCCAAAUAGCUUGGAAGUUUUUCAGAAUGGGAAGCUCUUUAGAGGAUCAAUGAUAGGUCCAAAUGAAACAGUAAAAUUUUCAGCAGUAUGUAUAUAUUUUCUAAAGUUUUUUUUCCAGCACCCUAUUAUUGAAGAAAUGGUUGCCUG
rnacentral:lncRNA from 1 species